rnacentral:rRNA from 1 species
UACGUAGGGGGCAAGCGUUGUCCGGAAUUAUUGGGCGUAAAGCGCGCGUAGGCGGCCCGGUAAGUCCGCUGUAAAAGUCAAAGGCUCAACCUUUGAAUGUCAGUGGAUACUGCCGGGCUAGAGUCCGGAAGAGGCGAGUGGAACUCCUGGUGUAGCGGUGGAAUGCGCAGAUAUCAGGAAGAACACCGACGGCGAAGGCAGCUCGCUGGGACGGUACUGACGCUGAGGCGCGAAAGCGUGGGGAGCGAACAGG